GACGAACGCUGGCGGCGUGCUUAACACAUGCAAGUCGAACGGAAAGGCCCUGCUUUUGUGGGGUGCUCGAGCGGCGAACGGGUGAGUAACACGUGAGUAACCUGCCCUUGACUUUGGGAUAACUUCAGGAAACUGGGGCUAAUACCGGAUAGGAGCUCCUGCUGCAUGGUGGGGGUUGGAAAGUUUCGGCGGUUGGGGAUGGACUCGCGGCUUAUCAGCUUGUUGGUGGGGUAGUGGCUUACCAAGGCUUUGACGGGUAGCCGGCCUGAGAGGGUGACCGGCCACAUUGGGACUGAGAUACGGCCCAGACUCCUACGGGAGGCAGCAGUGGGGAAUAUUGCACAAUGGGCGGAAGCCUGAUGCAGCAACGCCGCGUGCGGGAUGACGGCCUUCAGGUUGUAAACCGCUUUCGCCUGUGACGAAGCGUGAGUGACGGUAAUGGGUAAAGAAGCACCGGCUAACUACGUG
rnacentral:rRNA from 1 species